UACGUAGGGUGCGAGCGUUGUCCGGAAUUAUUGGGCGUAAAGGGCUCGUAGGCGGUCUGUCGCGUCGGGAGUGAAAACUCAGGGCUUAACCCUGAGCCUGCUUCCGAUACGGGCAGACUAGAGGUAUGCAGGGGAGAACGGAAUUCCUGGUGUAGCGGUGAAAUGCGCAGAUAUCAGGAGGAACACCGGUGGCGAAGGCGGUUCUCUGGGCAUUACCUGACGCUGAGGAGCGAAAGCGUGGGGAGCAAACGGG
rnacentral:rRNA from 1 species